CCAGGGCCACUCCCGCAGCUUAUGGAGAUUCCCAGGCUAGGGGUCUAAUCGGAGCUGUAGCCACUGGCCUAUGCCACAGCCACAGCAACGCAGGAUCCGAGCUGCAUCUGCAACCUACACCACAGCUCUACACCACAGCUCAUGGCAACACCAGAUCUUUAACCCACUGAGUGGGACCAGGGAUCGAACCCGCAACCUCGUGGUUCCUAGUCGGAUUUGUUAACCACUGAGCCAUGAUGGGAACUCUGAAAUCUCCAAAUGUUAUUGUAGAAUUGUCCAUUUCUCCCUUCAAUACUGUCAAUUUCUGCCUCGUGUAUCUUGGUGGUCUGUGAUUAGGUGUAUAAAUGUUCAUCUAAUCAUUCUUAAGCCUCUAUCCAAAUGUCACCUCCUCCAGUGCCCUCGCCCUGCCUCCCCCAACCCCAGGCAGAGCCCCUCUCCUCAGUGCUCUCACUGUGACUUGGAUACACCUCUGUGUCCCACAUUCUGCUCCAGUGAGGACCUGUCUUCUGAGUUAGUUUGUCUUGGAAGACACGGAAUUUUGUCUUAUUUAAGUUUGCACCUCCAGAAUCCGGGCAGUCAGUGCCUGGUGAAUGUUUGCUGAAUGGAUACUUGCCACUGAAUACAACUGUGUCACUCAUGUUCUUCCUGGGAUCAAAAUAAGUGUAGUCAGAAAUUCUCAAUACAUCCUUGCUUUUUGUAUCAGUAUUACAGAGCCUUCAAGGUAUUUGUUCUUCUCUCUCAUUUGAUCCUUACCACAAUCCUAUGAGGAAGUUUAAGCCAGGGGUUUAUAGCUCCAUUUUACAGGUUUAUAAAACUGAGACUGAGACCCAGGCUGAGUGCCUUGCUAACAGUCAAGAUGAUAAGAGGCAGAGCUGGGACUAGAGCCCAGGUUAGUCUGGCUCCUGACCAGAGCUCCUCUCUCUGUGCCCACUGCCCGGGAUGGGCUUAACUGCUCUGGCUGGGAUCACAGCCUCUGUGUGUGGAGACUGAUUCUCUUUCCUCUUGGGGAAUGUGAAGAUUGCCUUUGGACGUGUUAUGGGGAGUUCUGAGUGAGUCUCUGCAACACCCCUCACAAGAUCAGUAGAGACGAUGAACACUGACUGCUUUGCUCACCGAGGCACAGGUGGGAGCUGGGCCCCUUGUCUGGGCUUCCCCAGUGCCAGGUAUGAUGUACUUGCCAUUUGUUCUGAAGUACCCUGGCCAGUCUUGGCAUAGGCAAGAAACUUUUUUCAUGUUUUAAAUAAAAUUGGCCCUGUGUGACCACCCUCCCACUCUGAUGUUUGAAGCCCUGCAGAGUGAAUCAGCUCUCUCUGCUCCUGACAUCCUUCCAGGAAAGUGCAUGCAUUUCCCUGAGUGUUUUUCCUCAGGCUGUAUGGCUCCAGUGCCUUCAAGCUCCUCCACUGUUUUUCUGGGGACCUCCCUCUCUGGGCCACCUCCCCCUGACGUGCUGCAGUUCAUCUACUGGCUGAGUCUGAGUGACAGGGAGAGCACACCCGUAACAGGGCACCCCUGGGCUGGCAAGGAGAAAGGCUGCAGAGGGCUCUAAUUGCAGCUUCCUCAAAUGGACAGGCAGCUGGCUCUCAGGCAGUGGAGGAGGAAGGGGAGGGAAGCAGAGCCCUGGAAUGUGUGAUAGGACAAAAAUAGAGGGCCCGGGGUUACUGUAGGCCAAGCUCCUUCCCAGGACAGGCUUGCAGGAAGCUCUGAUUUAGGUGAGCCCACCUAGCCCUGUGCUGACUGCAGGGUGAGCCCCCUGGAUGUUCCCAGGCUGUUCCCCUUCAGUGGUUGGAGCAGGGUUUCGAAUGGUGUUUUCAAAGAGUCCAUAUUGUGGUCCUCAAGACUUUGGAAUUCUCUUUAUGCCUCCCUUUCCUUCUCUUCCCAGGGUCCUCUAGGGAUGACUGGCUUUACUGGUCCAUUGACUGGCCUUGACAGUGAGGGGAAAUCAAGGACAAGGGAAGGAUGACUAGAGAGGUCCAGUGAGGGCCUCCUGGUUAAUUUUCAUGAAAACGAUGACGAUAAUUACACACACACCUUGUAGGAUUGCUGAAUGUAUUUAAAAAGGCAACAGAUAUAUGUGUUUUGUGCAAUCCUCACUCUGUAAAGGGACUUACAGGUAGCACUCACCCUGUGAGGGCACCUGGUGGCUCCUAGUGAUGUUCUCCUUGCGACCUGUCAGGGGCCAGAGUGAGGUCUGUCACCUCCAUGCUCUGAAAGCAUUUGUGGGUUUAAGAGCUGGACUGGAAAGCAGGCUGGAUUUCAGUCCUGGCUUUAAGUUGCUGUGUGACCCAGGGUAAGCUCCUUCCCCUCUCUGGGUCUCCAAUUUCUUUCCUGUUCCAUGAAGGACUUGGGCUAGGAGAUCUUUGAAGUCCUUGGCCCACAGAAGCUGGGGGAUCUGGGCCAUGGGUCAGGGUGCUCCUUUCUUGAUGCUCUAGACUCUUUCUUUGGGGAAAGGCAGCUCUCUCCACUCCAUCCUUUGCCGAGCUGGUCUGCUGGUUUCCUAGACAAGCCCAGGAAUGCUGGGUAUGGAGCUGUGGGUUCUGUGGUCAAGGCUGUAGGGCAGGUUCCGGGCCCAGUGUCUCAGUGCUGCAUGCCUGGCCCCCUGGAAAGGGGCGCUGCCUGGAUUGCUUUCAGUGUUCUUGCCCCACCUGCCCUGGACAGCCGGACCCAUGUCCUCAAGUCACAGGGAGAGUUCAGCAUGUCCUGCUGUGACACAUGGCCAGAGGGCAGUAAAACUCAAGCCCUCCUGGUGGGCAGGUGAUCCUCACGGAGCUAGCCAGGCCUGACUCAGCCCCAGCCUGCCAGCCCCUGAACCAGCUGUUCCCUCAGGCACUACACAGAAAUCACGCCAUGGGGGAUGGCAUCAGGCUGCAGGAAAGCGUGUCCCUGGCUCAGGGGCCAAGGAGAAGAAUGCAGUAUCAGCCUGGCACCAACUGGCCUGAAAGAACAGCUGACUCUCUGCAGGGAAAGCUGAGACAGAGUCCCAAGUUCAAGACUGGCUCGUAGCCCUAGGACAGGGAUUGCUGAUAGUCUGAUUCAGUGCAAAGGAGAGAGCUGGACCAGACCCUCUCAGGCCAAGCACCUAAUCCCCCCUCCACCUGACUGUGUGUGACCUUCAUUUGAUGCCUGACCCUUAUUUGGGCCUCAGCUUCCCUGUCUGGGCUAAGUAUUAAGGUCCUAAGGGAACAAAUUUUGUGAUGUCCUUACUUAAAAUUUGGGGACUCCGUUCCCCCAGCCUUUAGUAGAAAUGCUCCUGUGAAGACUGCGUGUCUGAUAUGUCACUAUGUGCUGCCUGGGACAGUCUCCCUCUUCAUCCAGGCUCCUCUUGCCUCACCACCUUCUAGUCUGAGCUGAUACCCAUUCUCCUGUUUUCUAGAAGGAAAAUGACCUUCAUUCUAGAGUGUAGGUAAUGGCAAUCUGGACAUUUCAAGGUCUUAUUGAAGAGGUUGAGACUGACCUUAUUCUAGUUCCAGCUGUCACAGUGGGCUCUUGAGCAUUUCUCUUCCCCACCUGGGCCUCAGUUUCCCUCUUGGUAGUGGGAAGUGUUUGAGUCAAGUGAUCUUGAAAAUUCUUUCCAGUUUGGCCUCAGGGUCUCUAAUAUCCCCCGGAAAAUUAAUUUUUUUUUUUUUUUUGGUCAUUUGUCUCAAAAUGAUUAAAGCAAUUGAGAAGCAAAACAACUUGGCUAUAAACCAGCUCAGGAGGACAAUAAGAUGAGACCUCUUGCUCUAAUGUGGGGGGGGGGAGGCAGUUAGAGAAAUGCUGCACCACCCCCACUGGUAAAAAGAGGGAGGCAGCUUACUGUUCUAAAGUGAUCUCUCUCACACACACUGGGGGAGGGAGGAGGUGCUGGGUCAGCAGGCGUGUCUGGAGAAUGUUUGUCCCUGAAGGAAAGUCAGGCAGAAAAGUCCGCUUGGCACCAGGCCUUGCUGGGAUUAUCUUCAUCAUAGAGCCAUAAUUUAUUUUUCCACAGACCUCGGGAUCGUAUAAGGGGAUUCCAGAAUCUUCAUGUGAGCAGUGAGUACCAAGUAUCCUGGGGCUGCCUGCCAGUAAGGCGACCUCUCUCAGUGUCUGCCGCCACCCGCCUGCUGAUUGGGAGUUGGCUACUGCCCGGGGCCCUCAGGGCUCCUGGGUCACCUGAGAGACUUGUUAGGAAGCUGGUGUUCAUCUCUUGGGUAUUUGGGUGGAAUCUUCUCUGUGGGGGUGUCAGCAUACCAGUGUCAAAUGGGUUCACCUGCAUGUGCCAGGGAAAGGGCCUCACUCCAGACGGCCCUCUUGGCCAUCCUUGUCACCUGCCCUGUGGCUGAGAGCGCUACCCCAGCCAUAUCACUUAUCUUUCUGCUGACAGCCUGACUGCUCCUGUGAGCAGUUGAAUCUUUAGAUGCUGCUGGAGGGAAGCUUAUGCUUUUGCUGCUGAGGAGCUGGGCUUUGAACAAUGAGCAGGAGAAAAGGAGGAAGAGCUUUCUGGAUGCAAAACUGCAUGGGAGGAGUCAUAGCCAAUUUGGCUAAAUACAAAGUAAACCACUUUGCCUAGACUAGAUCAAAGGUUCCUAUGUACCUGCCCAUAGACCUGUGAUGAUUCAUCACGAAUGGUCAUCAGUCACUGUUAACGGGGAAAAUAGAGCCUAUAGAAUGAAUUUUUAAAAACUAAUGUAGCUUGUGGAAUUCUUCUUUAUUUUUAGAGAUAUUCUUGCUGCUUUUUAAUGUUAAAAUGUUUUUUCCCUUAGACAUAAUUCUCCCAAACGUCAAACAAUGUUACAAAGCUACAGUAAUCAAGACAGUAUGGUAUGGGUACAAAAACAAACAUGUGGAUCAAUGGAACAAAAUAGCCAAGAAAUAAACCAAAACACCUAUAAUAAAUUAAUCUUUGAUAAAGGAGGCAAGAAUGUAAAAUGGGAAAAGACAGUCUUUUUGGUAAGUGGUACUGGGAAGACUGGACAGCUGUAUCUAAAUCAAUGAAACUAGAACACACUCUCACACCACGCACAAAAAUAAACUCAAAAUGGCUUAAAGACUUAAAUAUAAGUCAUGACACCAUAAAACUCCCAGAAGGGAAUAUAGGUAAAACAUUUUCUGACAUAAACCAUACAAAUGUUUUCUUAGGUCAGUCUUCCAAGACAAUAAGAAGUAAAAACAGAAAUAAACCAAUGGAGACCUAAUCAAACCUAUAUGCUUUUGCAUAGCAAAGGAAACUAUUUAAAAAAAAAAGAAAUAAUGACAGCCUGCAGAAUGGGAAAACAUAGCUGCAAAUGAUGCAACUGACAAGGGUUUAAUCUCCAAAAUAUGCAAACAACUCAUACAACAAAAAAACUAACAACCCAAUUGAAAAAUGGUCAGAAGACCUAAACAGACAUUUCUCCAAAGAAAACAUGGACAGCAGGUAAGCAUGUGAAAAAAAUGCUCAACAUCACUAGUUAUUAGAGAAACACAAAUCAAAACUACAAUGAGAUACCAUCUCACACUGGUCAGAACGGCCAUCACUAAUUAGUCUGCAAAUAAAUGCCGAAGAGGGUGUGGAGAAAAGGGAAGCCUCCUGGAAUGUAAAUUGGUACAACCACUAUAGAAAACAAUAUGAAGACUCCUCAGAAAACUAAAAAUAGAAUUACCAUAUGAUCCAACAAUCCCACUCCUAGGUAUAUAUCUGGUCAGAACUACAAUUGAAAAGAUUCAUGCACCUGUAUGUUCAUAGCAGCACUAGUCACAAAAGCCAUGAUAUGGAAACAAACUAAAUGUUCAUUGACAGAUAAAUGGAUAAGAAGAUGUGGUACAUACAUACAAUGGAAUAUUACUUGCCAUCAAAAGAAUAAAAUAAUGCCAUUUGAAGGAACAUGGAUGCAACCAGAGAUUCUCACACUAAGUGAAGUUAAGUCAGGAAGAGAAAAACAAAUACCAUAUGAUAUCACUUAUAUGUGGAAUCUAAAAUAUGGCUCAAAGAACCUAUAUACAGAACAGAAACAGACUCACAGACAUAGAGAACAGACGUGUGGUUGCCAAGGGGAGAGUGGAGGGAGUGGGAUGGAUUGGGAGUUUGGGGUUAGCGGAUGCAAACUCUUCCAUUUAGGUGGAUAACCAGGAGUUCCCGUCAUGGCACAGUGGUUAACAAAUCCGACUAGGAACCAUGAGGUUGUGGGUUCAAUCCCUGGCCUUGCUCAGUGGUUUAAGCUCUGGCAUUGCCGUGAGCUAUGGUGUAGGUUGCAGACGUGGCUUGGAUCCUGCGUUGCUGUGGCUCUGAUGUAGGCUGGCGGCUACAGCUCUGAUUAGACCCCUAGCCUGGAAACCUCCAUAUGCUGCAGGUGCGGCCCUAAAAAAAGACAAAAUAAUAAUAAUAAUAAUAGAUGGAUAACCAAUGAGGUCCUACUGUAUAGCACAUGGAAACAUAUCCAGUCUCUUGGGAUAGACCAUGAUGGAAGAUAAUAUAAGAAAGGGAGUGCAUAUAUAUGUAUGACUGGGUUGUUUUGCUGUACAGAAGAAAUUGGCACAACAUUGUAAAUAAACUAUACUUUGAGAAAAAAAUUAUUAAAAAUGUUUUCUCCUUAUAAAAUGGUUGAAAUAUUAGAUGAUAUCUGAUAAUCCUGUGUCAAUCUUCUGUGAUUAAAAACUUGUUUUUGUUGAUCUUUGAAUUUCAAAAUCUAGGACCUGCUGUAUUCUCAGAGGAAUUGGAUAGAGGGUAGUGGGAGACAGGGCAGAAAUGGUAGGCAAGGGCUGGAGGUGGAACACCUUGGUCUACAAGCAGCAGGGGACCAUGUCUAUUUCACUCACUGUGGAAUCCUCAGCAUCUAGCACAAGGGUCAAUAAACAUUUUCUAUAAAGGGCCUGGUAGUGCAUAUUUGAGGCUUUUGGGGCCAAACCCCUUCUGUUACAGCUUCUUGACUUUUCCUUCUUAGUACAAAAGCUGCCACAGACAAUAUUGUUUAAAUGUGAGUGUGUUCCAAUAAACUUUUAUUUAUGAAAACAUAAACUGGUGGGCCUGAUUUGUUCCAGGGGUUUUAGCUGGUUGACCCCAAGCUAGCACAAAUCCUAGUAUCUAACAGGUGUUCAAAAUGUAUUGAAUUGAAGCAAAUUGUUUUUUGAGGGCAAAGAAUAGACACUGGAAGGACCUGAGGUAGGAUUUUAGAAGGACCACUGUGGUGGGCUGUGCAAGGUGGAUGGGGGAGCAUAAGAUAGAGUCACUGCCACUGUGCUCAGCAAGGGGCAGUUACAAUAUCCCAGGCCUGGAGUUGGGAGGGCUCAGCCUGGAGCAGGGCAGGUAGGAAGGAGUGAAGAUGUGGGAGUAGCUGAGUUGAUAUUUAAAGGGAGAAACAAAAGCCAUGAGUGGCUAGAAUUUCAAGUCCCAAUUUCUUAAACUCUGCUCUUUAUGUCCCAAACUAUGCCUGCGGAACUCAGAGCUCUAGUCUAUCUGAAAAAGCCUGGCUUUUCCAAACCAGAAUCUUGGCUUUCAACACUAUUCUUACUAUGAAUUUCAAAAGCCCUCCAGAAGCCAAGAAUUUGAUUCUUUGCUUUCCCUUUACAUUUCCACUCUGCCAGAUUUGCUCUGAGGCAGUAAGUCCUGAAUGUCUUAGCCUCCUGAUUUUUCAUGGGAGAAAAGUUGUUCAUUAAAAAAAACUAAGGAGGAAAAUGUAUUUGCUAAUGUAAUGAAAUAUUUUUCUGCCAUAUUUGAUACUAAUGAGAGGAAGGAAAGCCAAGGGAGGGUGCCGCUCUUGGCGAAGGUAAGAUGAGUCAGUUUGGACAUCUGCAGUGAUGAGGAUGUUCAAUGGGGCUACCUGGUGGCACUGAGAAUUACCAUCCCAGUUCACCCAAGUAGCGAAUGCAGCUGAGAGUCCUAGAGUGAGCUGAGAGAGUAGAGGAAUUCUCUAACAGUGGGAAGACUCAGAAAAUCUGAAGUGUAACUUUUGAAAAAUGCUAUUCAUUCGCGGGCAUGAGACAGGGUUGAAGGCAGUGGAGGGACCCCAUAAAUGCAGAGCAUCAAGACUGGGUCAUGUCACUGAAACCGAAGAAAGAGAGACAAGGGGAAGGGCUUGGUUAAAGCAUCAAACCCUGUGGUUGCUCUCUUGGGUUUACUCAUUCCUUCACCAAACAUUUAGAACUGCCUUCUCUGUGUCUGACUGUAUUUCAGGACAUAGGGGUAUAAACUCAGAUCCAGCUCCUGCUCUUAGAAACACUUGAUCUAGUGACGGAAAGAGAUGCAAACACAACUGCCAUUCAUUUUAAGGCCUCCCUUAGAUGUCUGGCUAAAGAACACCACUUAGAGCUCUCUAUGUAGAGUAAAGGGAGAUGGAUUUCUGUUUACCACAAAGCUGCUUAAAGAUGGAAGGAGGAUAUUUUGGAGGUACCAAUUUCUCUGCCAUCCAGGAUGUUCAAAGCUUGCUGGAUGCCCAUUUGAUGAGACUCAUUUAUGGCCUUUCUUCCAACCCUGAGUUAGGAAACAGAUCCUCUGAGUCUGCUAUUCUUUCCUUGUUUCUCCAGACUCUCAGGCAGCUGUGGCUAUGAAUUCUGCUUGAGGGAUGUGUUUGUUGGGCAGGGAAGCAAGGAGAAUAGCAUCAAGUGACAUAAGGGACCCUGCGGGAGGAGGCAGAGCUGUGCAUUCUAGUUCCAGUUCCCUGUCCCUGACUCACUGCCAGACUCUGGGCAUAUCCUUCCCUCCUUUGGGCCUUAAUGUCCCCUUCUGUACCAUGGGGGCAGGGGAGAUGUUGGACUAGGUUUCUCUGUGGUCUGUCCCACUGAUUCUCAUACUGACUCUGGGAAGGACCAUUUUGUUUGCUUGUUCAUUAUAGCCAUAUUAAGAUACAGUUCACAUACCACACAACUUACUCAUUUAAAGAGUACAAUUCAAUGGUUUUAGUGUAUUCAUAGAGUUGUGCAACCAUAACCAAUUUUAGAAUAUUUCCAUCAUCCCCAAAAGAAACUUCUUACCCUUCAGUUGUCAACUUCUGGCCUCCCUGGCUCUAGACAAUCACCAAUCUUUCUGUCUCUAUGAAUUUGCCUAUUCUGGACCUUUCAUGUGAAUGGAAUCAUAU
rnacentral:lncRNA from 1 species